GUGACAUUGAAACCCUCAUGAGUUGUAUUGGGGAACCUCCUGGAGGACAUAGAAAGCAUAAUUAGAUAAUGGAAAAGGGUCCCAAAACAUCAAUUCACACACCUCACACCAGAAAGAGAAGCUGUCCAAGAACUUUAUGGGAUUCAGAAGUCUUUAACAGGCAGGCCUUCGAGAGAAACUUACUAAGAAAAUCCCUGCCUGCACAGCACAAGGGUACCAGUGGCCUCUGGUGCUUUUGAAUACAGCCACUUAGAGGACAAGAACGAAUGGAAGCUCCCAGAGAGCGGCUCCUGGUCGGCCUCCUUUCCUACCACCUGCCCAGGGCCUGGAAUUGAGUAGAUGGCUAACAGUUAAUGACUAAAUGAAACUUAGUGAAGGAGAAAGACAUGAAAACUGAUCGUUAUACAGGAGGCGACUGGCUACGUAGGAGGUGGGUGUGGAGAACCCGGACGACUUCCUGGAGGAGGCGGAAGAGGGCUCAGUAACCAUGAGAUUACCGAAAACUGGGAAAGUAAAUAUGGUUUGUAUUUUCCGCAAGACAGCUCUCCGGGCCUGCGCUGGGCAGUAGAUUCCCAGCUCGAGGGACCGAUCUCCAGGGGAAAGCAAGGCCCACCUGGGCCCAGGCCCGCCCAUCCCGCCCUCCUCGUAGGCACCGGCUUGGUCAGUCCUGGCCAACCAGCAAAAGAAGCUCCGCCUUCCGGGGCCGGAGGGCGGCCUGAGGCGCUCGCUGUCACCCGCCGGGGCCCAGCCCCGCCGCCUCCGCCGCCCGGGAAAAAGCCCACUCA
rnacentral:lncRNA from 10 species